rnacentral:lncRNA from 1 species
UACACAAGUAAAUAAUCUUACAGCCCAAGUCUUCCACAGAUUUUGGAAGAGACAAAAGGGGCAAAUGGGUAGAAAACAAUCUUGGAGAGGUAAAACUAGAAAAAUCAGGAGAAUCAGUAUCAAUACAUACCAUGUCCAAGAAAGGAAGAAGAACAUGAGGAUUAUUAGUAAGCAAAGGGUGGUUUUCUUUAGGAUUAGGAAAACGAACUCGGUUCAUCAAAGCAAAGGUUAGUGCUUUUAACCAAGUUGUGCCUGAUUUAGGAGUAGUAAUAAGGAAGAUAUCGCUUUCUUGAGCUUGAAAAUGGUUUUGACAAGUUACAACACCUUUUAGUAGCCUAGUUGAAUGCCAAAACCCUUGGUAUUGAUGGAGAUGAUUUGCGACCCAACCCUUUUCAGUUGGUAGGGAGACUAUGAAGUCUCUAAAAUCUUGAGAAAAUUCUUUUUAUUGCAAGUAAGCAGCAAGAGAUUCAAGUGUUUGCAUGGUUGUAGUAAAUUAUGGUCUAUAGUUAUUAUUUUCUUUGUGUUGUUCUUGGUUUGGUUAUGUAUGUAUAUACACAGCGGUUCCCAUUUGCAAUAUAUAUAAAAAUUACUAUAAUAUAUAAUAGUAAAUUACAAUUUAGUCUUUAAGGUUUGAUUAUAUCACAACUUCCAUCUCUCUUGUAAUGUUGCUUGAAUCGUAGAAAUAUUGACAAUAUUUUUUUAUCUAAAAAAUUAAAAUAUUAUACACACACAUAACCUAAGCGAUUUUAUGGAAUUAAAAAAAACCAACAAGCUCUGAACAAAUCUAGGUUAGGUUAAUAAUACAAAAUCAGACAAAUUUAUGUCUCUAUGAAUAUUUAAAAUUCAUGAAAAUUAUAUUCUAAAGUCCCAUUUCUGCAUUGUAUAUUGUAAUCCACUCUCAGCUACUUAUAGACACACUAGCAUCAUCAGGUGUAUAUAUAUAUAAUUUUCAAAUUAAAGUGCCACUAAUUGUUGAAUUAUUGCAUCCUCAAAAAAUAAAAAAUUGUUGAAUGAAGACAUAAUUGUACAUAAUAAUUAAUAAAGAUCCAAAGACGGUACAUUCGUAUUUAUAAUAAUUGACAAUGCAGCAGAAAAUGUAAACAAAUAUAAGCAAAACAACAAAUUCAUGGCUACUAAUACUACAAGAAAAAGAGGCAACAUUAUGCUUAUACUUGGAAAGAGAGUACCCUCAGUCAUAGUAAUAAGCCAGGGCAAUUUAUAUACAGAGUGAUAAUUAAAUAAUAUUAUAUUAUUAUUAUUAUUAUUAUUAUAAAUACCUUCUUUCCUUCGCAAGCAAUUUUUAUUACAUAUCAAUCUACAAGCAAAACAACCAUUGAUUAAUCUAAAUUCGUAUUUUAAAUGUUUUCCUUGUGUUGUUUUUGGUUUUGGUUAUGUGUUUAUAUACAGAGUGAUUCUCAUUUGCAAUAUAUAUAUAUAAAUUUCUCAAUAUAUAAAGGUAAGUAACUAUUUAGUCCCUCAAUUUCAAUCAUAUUAUAAUUUCAUCUCUCAUAUUUGGUAAAUAAAUAACCCUUUAAAAUUUUAGUUUCAUUAAACUAUUUAGUUUUUCUAUUUAAAAAAGUACUUAUUCAGAAGUUAAAUAUCUCGUACUACUUUUGAUUACUUGGUUAUUCAUUUUUAAUAUACUUUUACUAUUUAGUUUCUCACAUUUACUAUUGUAUUACAAUCUAGUCCUUCACUUAAUGGUACAAAUAGCACUUUUUGGAUGAAGAACUAUAAAUAGUUUAAUAGAACUAAACUAGGGAUGAAAUAAUAAUUACAAUCUUCUCUCUUUCAAUUUUAGUUAUCCUUUGUUACUUAUCAAUCCACUCUCAAUGAAUUAUAAUCAUUCAACUCAAUAAGAUGUUAACAUUGCUUAAAAUUUUUUAUUUUUAGUUUUUAAUUUCAUUAAAUGCUUCUCAAAAGUCAAAAUACAUAAAAUUUGAAAGUUUUGUAAAUUUUGGAAGAGCAAGAUGGACCAGGCCAGGCCCAAAUUAGGUGGGGCUUCUUGGGAUUUAGGCCUCGAUUGAGCCUUAGCUGUUACUUAAUGGUGAAAAUAACACUUUUGGAUGAAUAAUUAUAAAUAGUUUAAUAAAACUAACUUUAAGAUUAAUUAAUAUAUUUAUCAGGGACGUAAUAAUAAUUAUGACCAACUAUUAGUUAUUUAUUCUAUAAAUGUGAAAUUCCACCCCACUCAUUCUUAGGUAUCUAUCUCUAUUUUGUCAGGACAUCUUGCUGAUAGUGAGCCAAGCACCUAAGCUUUGCUAAUUAAUUAUUGUGGUCUUAUUUAGUAAUUUGAUAAUAUUUUUUAUCUAAAAAAUGAUUUUAUUCAUUAAAAAACAAGAUUUGUAUGCACACAUAUAAGCAAGAAUAAGUAAAAAUUUUUAAGUCAUGACCUAAGGGAUACUAUUAAAAUUAAAACGAACUGACUACAUCCAAAUAAAUCGAAUUAUGUUAGAUUUUUUUUUUUUUGAAUAUUAGGAGAGCAGAUUCGAACAUGAAUCUAUUGUCAGAUCAUAAAUACACUUACUCUUAAAUUAUAUCUUGAUGUACCGAAUUAAGUUAGAUCAGCAAUAUAAUAAAGCAAUAGUAAAAUAAGACAAAUUAUGUCUAUUAAUACUAAAAAUUCUAGAAAAUUAGAUACCUCUCUUCUUCUCUAUAUAUAUCUAUCUAUAGUAGCUUGAUAAAAAAAAUAUCUACCAAUUUCACUUAAAUUAAUCAACUUAUGUGCAGCUUGAUUUCCUUUACGAAAAAAAUGCAAGAUAGUAUCUUAUCAUUCACUGUGUAGGAACUGAUGAAUACUAUCAUUAUUGUCUUUUGUAACUUGAAAGUAAUUAGAAAGUUGAUUAGCAUAUUAAACACAUUAAAAUUAUACUUUUAAAAAAAUAAUUUACUUGGAAGUGCACUUCUCAUAAAGUAUUCUUCUUGGAAAAUAGAUUGUUUGAAAUCAAACAAGGCCUUUGUUUUCACCACCCAACUUUCCUAAGCAUCUUAGUAUUCUGGAAAAUACUUAUUUAGACCGGAUUUAUAAUUACAUCUUAAAUCCUUUUUGUGUGAUUUAGCAUGUAAAUGGAAGAAUAUUUAAUUAUUUAUUCUAUCUUUUUUGUGUAUCAAAAACCUUUAAUGGAAAGUGAUAGUUGUUCCAGAAGUCGUACUAUACUGUUAUAUAAUGAGAUCAAAUUAAAAUUAAAAAUUUCACAAAUUGGUCAAUUAAUUUUAUAGUGCUUUUUUAAGUAUCUCGAAGAUUAAAAAUGUUGCUAUAUGAUUAUUAAUUAUUUUCAAGCAAUUUUUUUUUUUUUUACAUUGUUUGCUAUUUGAUGACUUUUAGUGAUUAAUCAAUUUAAUCAUUUUAUAAUAAUCACCAUGUUAAUUAGCCUUGCAAAAUUACAGAAACCCUAAUAUUGGCUUAUUAUCCACUAGCAAAUGAAUAAUUAAACUGGAAAGUUAACAAUGAUAAUUCAAUCAUUUAGAAAAUUUUAAUUAAAUAUUAUUUUCUUUUCAAAUGAAGAUAUUAUUGUACAUAAUAAUUAACAAAGAUCCAAAGAUGGUACAUUCGUAUUUAUAAUAAUUGACAAUGCAACAGAAAAUGUAAACAAAUAUAAGCAAAACAACAGAUUCAUGGUUACUAAUACUUCAAGAACAAGAGGCAACACUAUGCUUAUACUUAGAAAGAGAGUACCCUCAAUCAUAGUAAUAAACCAGGCAACUUUUCUUUAGUGAUGUGGUCCAAUUUUUCCAUCAUCUCAUUUGUCAGGUAAUUCUUGUAAUCUCCUAUCACACCCCGCCGGAAAAAGACGCUAUUUUCCUGGCCGGACGGUAAUUUUCCGAUUUUGUUCACCUCUAAAUUGCUCAAAUUAUCAAAACUACACAAAUUUAAGAUUUCAUCAAUUACUCCGCAAUUUUCUUCUUCUUUUGAAAAUGGACACUUUAAAAAUUCAGAUAAUUUCUUUAAAUGGAAUUUAGGAUCUUUCUUCAAAUCUUCAUAUUUCAAAAACAAAACCCUUUUAGGAUUUUCCAAACUUUGCUUCCAAUACCCCAAAACAUGAUCCCAAAAUGGCCCAUAAAAACUCAGACCUCUACAAAACUUAUCAAAAGCAUCUUCAAGUGAAUUUUCACCUUUGUCUUUAGGCCUUAACCUAUUUGUAAAAUGAUAAAAAGAAAUAAAAGUGUCUUUGGUGUUUCUACACAAGUAAACAAUCUUACAGCCCAAGUCUUCCACAGAUUUUGGAAGAGACGAAAGCGGCAAAUGGGUAGAAAACAAUCUUGGAGAGGUAAAACUAGAAAAAUCAGGAGAAUCAGUAUCAAUACAUACCAUGUCCAAGAAAGGAAGAAGAACAUGAGGAUUAUUAGUAAGCAAAGGGUGGUUUUCUUUAGGAUUAGGAAAACGAACUCGGU